rnacentral:rRNA from 1 species
UACAGAGGUCCCAAGCGUUGUUCGGAUUCACUGGGCGUAAAGGGUGCGCAGGUGGGUUUGCAAGUUCGAUGUGAAAGCCCCGGGCUUAACCCGGGAAUGGCAUUGGAUACUGCAGAUCUGGAGGAUCGGAGGGGGGACUGGAAUUCUUGGUGCAGCAGUGAAAUGCGUAGAUAUCAAGAGGAACACCAGUGGCGAAGGCGAGUCCCUGGACGAUACCUGACACUGAGGCACGAAAGCUAGGGGAGCAAACAGG